UAAGGACUCAAUGAGUACUAUUAUUUAAAAUUAUUAUGUAUUUAUUAUAGCGAUUCGUUAAUCGUUUCUUCCAUUCUACUGCGAAGUGUAUAGUCGCUAUACUCUCAUUCUGAAAGUAAAACUAAUGUGACGACGAUGAUUAUUUGAACGGUGGUUUUAAUCCGGGAAAACGUUGCAUAAAUAUGUGGGAUGAAGGCUGUGUCAACGGACAACUUCAAGGCUCAGGCGGAGACGACGAUUAUCUGAAUGGUGGUUUUAACCCUGGG